rnacentral:lncRNA from 1 species
CAAGAAUCGGCGCAUUAGCGCGUAGUGGCGUGUGGCGGAAUACGAGUUUGCCUGCGCAGGACCGAGAGGAGACGCUGGUGUUUGUCUGCUCACGUCAGUUAUCUUUUGUGUGAAAUUCGGGGUGACAACAACGUGGAUGUUUCCAGGCGCGCAGCUCUGCGGUGCUGGUGGAGGGGUGCGGUGUACAGCCUGGCGUGACGCUGCGCCAGCCCAGGGCCUGCCUGUCACUCAUUAUUGCAAAGGCAGGGGAGCCCCGGUGCCAGCUGUACCGGUCCCCAGGCCUCCAGAGGACCCGCUAUGAUGGAGCGUCUUGCUCGGCGCAGUGCUCUGCUUCAGUUCACGCUAUUUAAACACUGUGUCCACAACCCAAAGCUGCACCAACUGCGCCCAAGCUUCUUCUUUACCACGGAAAAGCUUUCAGCAGCAACAACAACAACAAAGAAAGUUUCCCCUGGAUCCAGGAUUUUCAUUUUGGUUUCUUUCGUUUAGGAUGUCCAACUGCUAAAAAAAAUAAAUAAAACAAAAUGCAAAUAAAAAAAUAGUUGCAUUGCAAUCCAGAUGAUUGGAGCUCUGCGUUUCAGAAAAAAAAAAGGAAAAAUCGUGG